GGAGACGUCCCCGCUGGUGCUCCAGUACGGGCCGGCGACCACCGUAUGAGAGAGGAGAGCGGCGGGACGGAGCGGAGACCUCGGCUUCCAGAGCAGACAGCUCGUCUCUGAUGCUUCCUUCUUCCACAGACACCCUCUCAUCAGGCGUCCGCGGGGUGGAAUGGGAUCAUACUGGGUUGUGUGUUCUUUGUUUGUGCUAUUUUUUAAUUUUUUUUUUUUUUUUUAACCAAAGAGACAUCGAGACUCAGUUUUUCUGACUGGCGAAGAGGAGGGUGGAGUCCAGAGACCUCAGAGCUCAGGAGGAAUCUCUGCAGGAAUGGAAUUUUUGAAAGCAAAGCCACAGAGGAUUGCUGGGGAGAGCUGUGGUGUCAGUGAGGAGAGGGCAGGAGCCACAAGGACAACCCUGGGAAGGCCAUUUUCCUAUCUGCCCUCCUUUCACUGCACCUGGAGAAAUGAUUGUUGCACAAAGUUCUUGGAACAAAAUUAUAUUAGUAUUUUUAUUCUGAAAAAAGUCAAUAAUCGUUGUGCCAGAGCCACUGGAACUGGGUAAAGGUGAAGACCCUUUGCCUUGUGUCCAAGACUAAAGGAACACAUGCAGCCAGCCCCUGCACUCACAGACGUGUCAAUACCACACUAGAGAUUUGCUGUAGAGCAUCUCCUGCAACCCCCUGGGCUUCCCUGUCCCCCUGGGUGCCGUUCUGUUCUGGUGAUUGUGCUUCUCUAGUCCGUCCUACAGCAUGACAUUUUGUUAGCCGCUAGCUCUCCUGUUAACAAGGUUACUUUUCUGAUCUCCUGUGGUCCAUAGUAAAGAAGACUGCUGCUGACUGCCUAGCACUUGUCCUUCUUGUGGCUGGGUGCAUAGCAUUCCAUCAUCCAUCUCCCAAAGCAGCUCUGAUUCCAAGGGCUGGCUCCUCUUUCCCAGGAGCAUUUAGUGGGGUGCUUCCCACGUGUGGGAGCAAAGUACUAGUCAAAAAUGCUCUUCUGGGAUUCAUUGCUCUGUAAGGCAGCAAGCUAAGGUUGGGCGUACCAGGGCAUCACCUCCAUGGGCUGCUGAAACCCCAGAGCUGUAGGGCUGGAUGCCCAAGUCAGGUCCUGCAGCCUCCACUGAGGGAAGAACACCUGGAGAGGAGCAGGGAUGGCAGCGAGAGCUCCUCUCCAGGAGCAGGGAUGGCAGCGAGGGCUCACAGCUGUGUCACAGCUGGCACAAACGCUGUGAGCAAGGUGCCAGGCUGGCACCCCUUGGCAAGGCGAGGCUUUGAUGCUGGUGCUCCUGCAGCAGCCACCUCACUGUG
rnacentral:lncRNA from 1 species